rnacentral:rRNA from 1 species
ACUCCUACGGGAGGCAGCAGUGGGGAAUAUUGCACAAUGGGCGGAAGCCUGACGCAGCAACGCCGCGUGGGGGAUGACGGCCUUCGGGUUGUAAACCUCUUUCGCGAUCGACGAAGCUCGUACUUCUGGUACGGGUGACGGUAGGUCGAGAAGAAGCACCGGCCAACUACGUGCCAGCAGCCGCGGUAAUACGUAGGGUGCGAGCGUUGUCCGGAAUUAUUGGGCGUAAAGAGCUCGUAGGCGGUGUGUCGCGUCGGCCGUGAAAACCUGGGGCUUAACUCUGGGCGUGCGGUCGAUACGGGCAUCACUGGAGUUCGGCAGGGGAGACUGGAAUUCCUGGUGUAGCGGUGAAAUGCGCAGAUAUCAGGAGGAACACCGGUGGCGAAGGCGGGUCUCUGGGCCGAUACUGACGCUGAGGAGCGAAAGCAUGGGUAGCGAACAGGAUUAGAUACCCUGGUAGCGAGUAG